rnacentral:rRNA from 1 species
GUGGGGAAUCUUGCGCAAUGGGCGAAAGCCUGACGCAGCCAUGCCGCGUGAAUGAUGAAGGUCUUAGGAUUGUAAAAUUCUUUCACCGGGGACGAUAAUGACGGUACCCGGAGAAGAAGCUCCGGCUAACUUCGUGCCAGCAGCCGCGGUAAUACGAAGGGGGCUAGCGUUGCUCGGAAUUACUGGGCGCAAAGGGCGCGUAGGCGGACAGCUUAGUCAGAGGUGAAAGCCCAGGGCUCAACCUUGGAAUUGCCUUUGAUACUGGCUGUCUUGAGUUUGGGAGAGGUGAGUGGAACUCCGAGUGUAGAGGUGAAAUUCGUAGAUAUUCGGAAGAACACCAGUGGCGAAGGCGACUCACUGGCCCAAUACUGACGCUGAGGCGCGAAAGCGUGGGGAGCAAACAGGAUUAGAUACCCCAGUAGUCC